CACCACCACUGCACUGGAGUGACAGCAAAGAUUGUAAGCUCAACAUACUGAUGUGGAGCCUCUCAAGCCAGCUAAGAAGAAUUAAAUAAGCAAUUUUCCACCCACUUUUAUGAAGAUCGACCCCAAUAUAUAAAAAGAAGAUAGUGACUACUGAGGAUGGUGACCACUGAAAAUGAUCAAACGGUAUUGGCAUUGUUGAAGACCUGUCUUCAUACUUAGGUAAACAGAGAUGUGUGGAAUAAGGACUCAAGCAAACUCAAGCCAUCUUUCUUGUGAGAGUGAGGCUCAGCUGGUUUUCACCCAUAAUUGUUCAUGAAUAAAAUUGCCAAGAGUUAUGAAUGCAGUUUCUGGGGAAUUUCUGAAGAGGAACUGGUCUUGGCUGAGAGAGAUGACAGACUUGGCGAUGGAGCAAGAACAACACAACAGAGAAGCCUAGGUCCCGGAAACAGACUACAGUUGGAUGAAGCCAGUUUAAAUGAUUUUUUAGAAACUUUUCCAAGAAUUUGGGCCAGCUUUUUGUACGGUGAACAGGGAUGUUUUUGUAAUCAGCACAUUAUGUGUUGUAUUUGGUGUAUA